rnacentral:rRNA from 1 species
CUCCGGUUGAUCCCGCCGGACCCGACUGCUAUCAGAGUGGGACUAAGCCAUGCGAGUCAACAUAGCAAUAUGUGGCAUACGGCUCAGUAACACGUAGUCAACAUGCCCAGGGGACGUGGAUAACCUCGGGAAACUGAGGAUAAACCGCGAUAGGUCAUCACUUCUGGAAUGGGUAAUGACUUAAAUCUAUAUGGCCCCUGGAUUGGACUGCGGCCGAUCAGGCUGUUGGUGAGGUAAUGGCCCACCAAACCUGUAACCGGUACGGGCUCUGAGAGGAGGAGCCCGGAGAUGGGCACUGAGACAAGGGCCCAGGCCCUAUGGGGCGCAGCAGGCGCGAAACCUCUGCAAUAGGCGAAAGCUUGACAGGGUUACUCUGAGUGAUUUCCGUUAAGGAGAUCUUUUGGCACCUCUAAAAAUGGUGCAGAAUAAGGGGUGGGCAAGUCUGGUGUCAGCCGCCGCGGUAAUACCAGCACCCCGAGUGGUCGGGACGUUUAUUGGGCCUAAAGCAUCCGUAGCCGGUCCUGCAAGUCUUCCGUUAAAUCCAGCUGCUCAACAGAUGGGCUGCGGGAGAUACUACAGGGCUAGGAGGCGGGAGAGGCAAGCGGUACUUUAUGGGUAGGGGUAAAAUCCGCUGAUCCAUAGAAGACCACCAGUGGCGAAGGCGGCUUGCCAGAACGCGCUCGACGGUGAGGGAUGAAAGCUGGGGGAGCAAACCGGAUUAGAUACCCGGGUAGUCCCAGCUGUAAACGAUGCAGACUCGGUGAUGGGUUGGCCUCGCGCCUGCCCAGUGCCGCAGGGAAGCCGUUAAGUCUGCCGCCUGGGGAGUACGGUCGCAAGACUGAAACUUAAAGGAAUUGGCGGGGGAGCA